AUAGAGACUCAGAGCUGCAUAUCAAUAAGCGGAGGAAAAGAAACUAACAAGGAUUCCCCUAGUAACGGCGAGUGAAGCGGGAAGAGCUCAAAUUUGAAAUCUUCAAGGGUUUCCCUUGACGAAUUGUAGUUUAAAGAAGUGUUUUCUGUUAGAGAGGUGGUAAAAGUUCUUUGGAAUAGGACAUCAUAGAGGGUGAGAAUCCCGUAUUUGACCAUUAUUUUCAGCUGUGUGAUUCACUUUCAAAGAGUCGGAUUGUUUGGGAAUGCAGUCCAAAAUGGGUGGUAAAUUUCAUCUAAGGCUAAAUAUUGGCGAGAGACCGAUAGCGAACAAGUACCGUGAGGGAAAGAUGAAAAGAACUUUGAAAAGAGAGUUAAACAGUACGUGAAAUUGUCAAAAGGGAAGCGUUUGACACCAGUGUUGUUUUUCCGAAAAUCAAUUACGAAUGUUUUAUUUUUAGAGAGUUAUGACUUCAUCGGCUUGCUUCUUUCUUUACUGAAACUUUCUUAAUGCACUUUUCGGUUAACAAGUCAACAUCAAUUUCUUUUGUUGUAAAAGGGUAUGAGGAAGGUGGCUUUCUUUUCGGAGAAAGUGUUUAUAGCCUUGUACCUCUACAAUCGGAGAGAUUGAGGUCUGCAGCGUAGAUCCUUCGGGGUUAGAUACAGUUUGUGCUAAGUUAUAGCUUUUCAUAGACAACUUGUUGAUUAUGUUAAGUCUUGUAGCUUACUCGCUUAUGCUAUUUUACCUACGCUUAGGAUGUUGAUAUGCAUGACUGAUAU
rnacentral:rRNA from 1 species